UUAAAAAUAUAUAUUAAUUUUAUAUUAAUUUUAUACUAUUAAGUUCGUAUGCAGUCACUACAAAAUUGCCAUGGGGGUAAAAUGGCUGGCAGUGACACAUGAUAACAAACGAACGAAGAGGUUCAAGAACGAGUGACGUGGAUGUCUCUCCGGUUCGACUCAUAUACUCUACCUGUGCUGAUCUGACGUCACGGGUAUGCUUCUUAUCAG